GCCCCAGAAGCUGAAUGGAUCAGCAGCGCUUUGGCGAAGUCGCAGGUUGUGGGUUCAAAUCCCACCUGGGGUA
rnacentral:tRNA from 1 species